rnacentral:lncRNA from 1 species
AGAAAACACGCACCACCACUCAGCUGCAUUCCAUUUAUUGAGACAAUCAGAGAGGGCUAUUAGUUUUUAAAGGGAGAGGAAAUAAACUUCAUAACUUAAUGAAAGUGUGGAAGAGUCUGAAAAGCAUAUGGGAUCAGAAACAUUGCGAUGCCAUUCUUGGAAAAUAUAACCUUCCACAUAAAAUUUCAUGCAAAACUUUCUAGAUUUUAUUUGGAUUUUCUACGGAUCCGAGUAACAAUUUGGGAAAAUUUAACAUUGUUAAAAUAUUGUGUUCCUAUGUAUAAACAGAUUUUACCUCAUUUAUUUAGUUUUUGUUAAAAAUAGUUCUUAAUGAAGUUUAUGCAUUUCCCUGUGGAGAUGCUAUACCUCUUUCUUAGGUUCUUUUCCCUAGUUGAGAUGCUAUGUUGUGUGUAUCAGCAGGUUGUCGCUUUACUACCGAGCAGCAGUCCCUCGUAUCAAUAUACUGCCAUUUGUUUAUCCAUCCUCCUAUGGGCGGACUGAAACAGACUAGGUCCAAUAAAAAGAGAGAAGCCACGUAGUGAUUGGAACAGAGAAUAUUUAAUAUUAAGAAUUUCUAACUCUUCAUGAUGGAUAUUAACUUACUGUGCUCGUCGUUUCACAACAUAUUGCCUCCCCAGUGCUUUCUACUGGAUGGACUUCAGCGUCAGCUGGAACAAGCAAAAAUAUUUAAAGGGCUCGGAUGUUUUUACACAGAUUAGUCUAAAAGGAUGAAUUUGGAGCCAAGAGGCAAUAAAUAGAUAACCGACAUUUGAAACUUUGGGUAUUUGGGGACAAAGAUGCAAUGAACGUGUCAUAAAGCUGUUUGUGGACGUAUGUUUUCACUUCUCCUGGAUAAAUGCCCAAGAGAAGAAUUGAGGGCCACAGAGUUAGACUUUAAGAGACUAUCAAAAGGGUGUCAACACUCGAGAAUCAGUGGGUCAAUUUCUACAGGUAGAGGUCUACUAAUCUUUUCUAUUUCUUCUCGGCAUGAAUUGUGUGUUUAUUGGAGGAGGUCACUGCCCGCCAGCUUACCUUGCGAGUGGACCCGGGGAUCAGGGGUGUUUCACUCCUCCCUGUCCUUGAAAUGUUCGUUCUGCCAUUGUUCCCACAGUUGGAGCCAUUUUCAAGGACUCAGCCUGGAGAGAGCGAUGCAUUGUUGAGACCGUCUACACAGGAUACAUAACUGAACCCAGUUAAGACCACCGUAGAAACUUUUAAGAUUCUUCUGGGCAGGUCUGAGAGGCACUCGUCUUGUGGCUGCUCAAGACAAGCCUGCUGGCUAAAUUCCCUUGCCCCUUAAGCCUGCCACCUACCAGUCUGGAGCAGCUGCCUCUUUCUUUGGUCUCUCCCCGCCCUCCAAGUACAGGGUCUAGUUUCAGAUUUCACCCAGCAAGCCCCUGAGGUUUCACACCAACAGUAUUUCAACUACUAUAUAUAUAUAUGUUUCAUAUCUCAUAUUUCAGUUUUAUUUAUGGUUUCUCCCUCAUAUUUUACACUGGUAAUAUCUUCUGUC